GAAAGGGUAGUGAAAGAAUCAUGGGCAGUUGUCGUCCGCUCGUUGCGCCGCUGGGCGCCCCUUUUUCCA
rnacentral:tRNA from 1 species